rnacentral:rRNA from 1 species
GACGAACGCUGGCGGCGUGCCUAACACAUGCAAGUCGAGCGAGUGGAGUUCUUCGGAACAAAGCUAGCGGCGGACGGGUGAGUACACGUGGGCAACCUGCCUCAUAGAGGGGAAUAGCCUCCCGAAAGGGAGAUUAAUACCGCAUAAGAUUGUAGCUUCGCAUGAAGUAGCAAUUAAAGGAGUAAUCCGCUAUGAGAUGGGCCCGCGGCGCAUUAGCUAGUUGGUGGGGUAACGGCUCACCAAGGCGACGAUGCGUAGCCGACCUGAGAGGGUGAUCGGCCACAUUGGGACUGAGACACGGCCCAGACUCCUACGGGAGGCAGCAGUGGGGAAUAUUGCACAAUGGGGGAAACCCUGAUGCAGCAACGCCGCGUGAGUGAUGACGGCCUUCGGGUUGUAAAGCUCUGUCUUCAGGGACGAUAAUGACGGUACCUGAGGAGGAAGCCACGGCUAACUACGUGCCAGCCGCCGCAGUAAAAC